CUACUUCCGGGGCCGGGUGCUCCCCUAGACACUGACCUGCUUCCGGGGCCGGGUGCUCCCCUCCUGCUUGGCCACUCUUGGACUUGAGAUCAUAAUUUCCUUCUUCUUGGUUCUUUCCUGAGGAAUUGCUGUCUAUGGAAGGUAAACAGAUAUAUGUUAAAGGGACAUUAAAAACUGCAGGAAGUAGGAAAAAGGUUUCUCCAUGACACACAUUAAAUAUAGAAUUACAGCUUUAUUUAUUUAUUUUUAAUUCAGAUAUAUGUUUGUCUGUGUAUGACAUGUGUGUGGGUACCCACAGAGGCCAGUUGUGAAUCCCCUGAUGUAGGUGCCAGGAACCAAACUUAGGUUCUCUAGUUGACCACUAAUUAAUCUUUCCAGUCCCUUGUUUACUUUUUAGAAGAUGGACUUUGAGAAAGGGAUGGUACUUAAAGGGUGUUUACUUAAAAAUAAUUCAACACAGGCCAGUUGGGCAAGGAAGCUCAUCCCUUUAAUCCCAGCAUUCUGGAGGCAACGGGAGAUGGAUCUCUGGGGAGCAGGGGUGGGAGCAGGGGUGGGGAGCAGGGGUGGGGGGCACUCUAUGUGAGGUGAAGAUACUUGGUCAGCACCAUUUCAGGUGCUGGGUCAAACCGUCAAGAAUCUGACUUUGUGGUUUGUCUUUCUUACACAUUUAAGCAUGGUAAAACUUUGGAAAAAGGUUUACACAUGACACAUUCUAAAUAUUAAAUUCAGGGGUUUGCACAGCAAGCUAGGCUUGUGCGCUACCACUAAGCGAUUUUCUUGUUCCCUUUGUUCAUUUUCAGACUGAGGUCCCAGUAAGCUUUGAAGAGGUUCUCUCCAAAUGGCCUGGAAGUGAUUUAAACAAAACAUGAUUAUCAUUUUUCUCUCCUGAUGAAGGAAGCUUAAUAACACACUUGGGGAGGGGGACACAGUGCAGUCCCAGAGCUGUGUUAGCAUGCACAAGGCUCUGCCUGGUUUAAGUCCCUGGAACCCCCCCCCCCCCGUCAUCCUUAGUCACUGCAAGGACUGUUUUCCUGUAGGGUAGUAUUCUAAGAUCGCCAUCUCUUCCUGUGCCCAAAAGGUAGAUACAUAAAGAAGUCCACUGGUUGAUAUAAAUGACGUUUUCUAAAGAUGUAAACAAGGAAAGAGGGUCUCAAAAUCCCAUGGAACUAGCCCUUGAGUAUCCUUUGUAUUAGGUUUAGAUGAGGGGUGAGCAGUUCAAGAGGACACUGAGAUGGAUUGUUGAGGACUAAGGAGUUUCUUAGAAGAGUUAUUAAUGCCAGGGACAGACAGAUAGGCAGGCAGGCAGGCAGGCAAUAGUGGAGGUUCUGAGGAGGCUUCUGGCUACAAACUAGAGACAGGUGGCACAGUGGAGGAUCUUAUGAAUCUUUAAGGCCAGGUGGGGGUGGGGGACAUGAUGAUGGAUGGAGGGAUGGAUGGAUGGAUGGAUGGACAUAACAACACUACAUUCUGCUGAUGCCUUAACAGCUCUGCCCCCUGAUGGGAACUCACUUCUCAGGGGAUGAAUCCUAUCUAUUGUGUCCCAGUAGGGUGUGUGUAUCCAUAAGAAGGCAAUCUAACAUUAUGCUAUUAGAGUUUGUGAUAAAUGAACCUCCUCACACUAGCCAUGCUGUUGGAUUCCUGACACCAUCUUGGGAGGACACACGCUUUUACAGCUGCCUUAUAGAUCAUACUUUCAUAGAUACAAACUACUUUCCUAGGUUUUCGAUCAUACAGAUUCCAAGCAGUUCCCCCACAACACAAACCCUGAGAAGUCUAGACAAGAACGUAAGAGAGGGAAACCUUUAAAAACAAGUCUUUAGGCUCUUUUUUUGUGGCAACUUUAGGAGGCCAGUCAUUUCAAGAUGAAACUGAGUAUCUCCUUCUCCACCACUGGCUGUCAGAAACUCAUAGAAAUGGGUGAUGGAUGCAAGCUUCAUGCUCUCUCUGAGAGGCACAUAGUCACAGAAGCAGCUACUGCCACUGGGUGAGGAGCACCGGGGUUAUCUCUUCUGAAGCAGCGGUGAGAAUGACAAGCAAGGUUUUCCCAUGGAGUGAGGUGUCCUGACCCAUGACAGAGUGUGCCUGCUGUUGAGUAAGGGGCAGUCUCAUUAUAGACCAAGGAUAACUGGAUAGAGGAAAUGCAAGUCUGUUCAAGGAUGCAUUGGGGAUGCCAUCUGUGUGUUCUCAAACUUACAUUUUCACUUAUUGUUAAAAGGAGGGGGAGGAUAUUCCUGGACUGACAGAUAUCACUGUGCCUCGUGGUUGGUGUAUAAAAGAGCUAGGAGAACCUGAAGGUUUUUAAUCUCUCUAAGGAAGAUGGUGUACACCAAUAUGCUGUCUGAAAGCCCUCAAACAAAGAAAGUAAGAAGCCCAGGACCACAGCACCCAAGAUUUAACAUUAUUUCACAUGUCCUUGACUUGGCACUGAUUGCUCUAAAGAAACAAUUCUCUAAGUCAAGCAAGGAGGACACUGCAGGAUGUGCUAAACGUACAGUGAAGGGAACCAAGACUCCAAGGGAAAACGCCACAGAUUGCCAAGAGGUGAAGGCUGUCGCCACCGAGCCCUCUACCUCUGAGUCCAGUCAAGGUCCCUGCCUGAUAAGACCAUGCACUGACUCACAGUUUUGACAGAAGUCUUCAUCAGACCCGUCGGGACACUGCCUCACGCCAUCACAAGCCAACGCUAUGUCAAUACAGCAGCCACUGUCACAGAAGAAAUGGUAGCGCGAGCAAGCACUGGAGCAUCCUGUUUGUGAACAAGUCUCAGGGACUGACAAUGAAGGACAUUACAGAAAACCACUUCCCAGAAACAUCAGUUUUUGUUAGCAAGAACAGCAAGAGUCACCUUCAUGUCCACUGACGAUGGGUCACCCUGCUGCAGCGUCCACUCAUAAAGGACAAUGGCGUGGUCGUCCGAGCUUUCUCGACCAUCUAGAACUACCCCGUCUGUGGGCAGAUGUAAAACCACAUCCUUCCCAGCCUUGCUAACGGGAGGCUUGUCCUCAUCUGUGAAAGAGAAGAGACAGGAGAGGCAUGCCUCUCUGAUUCCCCAGCUGAUGAACAGCAAUAGCUUGUCUGUAGAUUAGUCCAUCAAAAAAAAAAAAAAAAAAAAAAAACCUCAAAGAGAAUAAAUAAUCAACUGAAAUCUA
rnacentral:lncRNA from 1 species